UUGCGACUGUAUCUCAUUGAAACGCCAGUUCUCGUACGAUCACCGAAAUUAAGCAAAGUCAAGCCUGGUCAGUAUCUAGAUGGGUGACUCUUUGGGAAUACCAGGUACUGUAA